AUUGAACGCUGGCGGCAGGCCUAACACAUGCAAGUCGAGCGGAGCGGCAGACGGGUGAGUAAUGCCUAGGAAUCUGCCUGGUAGUGGGGGAUAACGUCCGGAAACGGGCGCUAAUACCGCAUACUAUCGGAUGACCCUAGGGCGGAUUAGCUAGGGGGUGGGGGAAAGGCCUACAAAGGCGACGAUCCGUAACUGGUCUGAGGGGAUGAUCAGUCAAACGGGAAAUGAGACACGGUCCAGACUCCUACGGGAGGCAGCAGUGGGGAAUAUUGGACAAUGGGGGAAAGCCUGAUCCAGCCAGGCCGGGUGUGGGAAGAAGGUCUUCGGAGUGGAAAGCACUUUAAGUUGGGAGGCGUUACCAACAGAAUAAGCACCGGCUAACUUCGUGCCAGCAGCCGCGGUAAUAC
rnacentral:rRNA from 1 species